rnacentral:rRNA from 1 species
UUACCUCAGUAACGGCGAGUGAAGCGGUAACAGCUCAAAUUUGAAAUCUGGGUCUUUUAGGCUCCGUGUUGUAAUUUGUAGAAGAUGCUUCGGGUGUGGCCCCGGUCUAAGUUCCUUGGAACAGGACGUCAUAGAGGGUGAGAAUCCCGUAUGUGACUGGGUGCUUUCGCUCAUGUGAAGCUCUUUCGACGAGUCGAGUUGUUUGGGAAUGCAGCUCAAAAUGGGUGGUAUAUUUCAUCUAAAGCUAAAUAUUGGCCAGAGACCGAUAGCGCACAAGUAGAGUGAUCGAAAGAUGAAAAGCACUUUGGAAAGAGAGUUAAACAGUACGUGAAAUUGUUGAAAGGGAAGCGCUUGCAAUCAGACUUGCACGCCGUUAAUCAUCCAGGGUUCUCUCUGGUGCACUUAGCGGCGUUCAGGCCAGCAUCGGUUUUAGGGGUGGGAUAAAGGCCUUGGGAAUGUAGCUUCUUUCGGGAAGUGUUAUAGCCCUCGGUGCAAUGCCGCCUCCUGGGACCGAGGACCGCGCUUCGGCUAGGAUGCUGGCGUAAUGGUUGUAAGCGACCCGUCUUGAAACACGGACCAAGGAGUCUAACAUUUAUGCGAGUAUUUGGGUGUUAAACCCAUAUGCGGAAUGAAAGUGAACGGAGGUAGGAACCCUUAAGGGUGCACUAUCGACCGAUCCUGAUGUCUUCGGAUGGAUUUGAGUAAGAGCAUAACUGUUGGGACCCGAAAGAUGGUGAACUAUGCGUGAAUAGGGUGAAGCCAGAGGAAACUCUGGUGGAGGCUCGCAGCGGUUCUGACGUGCAAAUCGAUCGUCAAAUUUGCGUAUAGGGGCGAAAGACUAAUCGAACUCAUCUAGUAGCUGGUUCUGUGGAG